rnacentral:lncRNA from 1 species
ACGUCACACACAAAAAAGCAGAUAAGCUAGCUUUUAUAGUGAAGAAUACAGAUAUUUUAAAAAAAACAUAAAAUUCACAACAGAUACAAAAGAAAGGUUUACUGGAAAGACACGACGCUGAUUUUAUGUGAGUAUAUUCUGUUCAGCUAUUUUAGGAAGCUUAGUAAUGUGUUGGAGGUUUUCAAUGCAUCUAGAAUAAGAUGCAAUAGUGAUGGUCAUUUUAAUUAUUUAUUUAUUUUUUGCAGAGAAAUGGAUACAAAGAGAAGAAGUGGGAAGCCCAACAGAGGAGGAGGACGUUUUAACAGAGGAAGAGGAGGA